GCUGAAGCCCCAGCUUGCUGGGGUGGAUGAGUGGCGAACGGGUGAGUAACACGUGAGUAACCUGCCCCUGACUUCGGGAUAAGCCCGGGAAACUGGGUCUAAUACCGGAUACGACCUGUCCUCGCAUGAGGGUGGGUGGAAAGUUUUUUCGGUUGGGGAUGGGCUCGCGGCCUAUCAGUUUGUUGGUGAGGUAAUGGCUCACCAAGACGACGACGGGUAGCCGGCCUGAGAGGGCGACCGGCCACACUGGGACUGAGACACGGCCCAGACUCCUACGGGAGGCAGCAGUGGGGAAUAUUGCACAAUGGGGGAAACCCUGAUGCAGCGACGCAGCGUGCGGGAUGACGGCCUUCGGGUUGUAAACCGCUUUCAGCAGGGAAGAAGCGAAAGUGACGGUACCUGCAGAAGAAGUACCGGCUAACUACGUGCCAGCAGCCGCGGUAAUACGUAGGGUACGAGCGUUGUCCGGAAUUAUUGGGCGUAAAGAGCUCGUAGGUGGUUGGUCACGUCUGCUGUGGAAACGCAACGCUUAACGUUGCGCGUGCAGUGGGUACGGGCUGACUAGAGUGCAGUAGGGGAGUCUGGAAUUCCUGGUGUAGCGGUGAAAUGCGCAGAUAUCAGGAGGAACACCGGUGGCGAAGGCGGGACUCUGGGCUGUAACUGACACUGAGGAGCGAAAGCAUGGGGAGCGAACAGGAUUAGAUACCCUGGUAGUCCAUGCCGUAAACGUUGGGCACUAGGUGUGGGGGACAUUCCACGUUCUCCGCGCCGUAGCUAACGCAUUAAGUGCCCCGCCUGGGGAGUACGGUCGCAAGGCUAAAACUCAAAGGAAUUGACGGGGGCCCGCACAAGCGGCGGAGCAUGCGGAUUAAUUCGAUGCAACGCGAAGA
rnacentral:rRNA from 2 species